rnacentral:lncRNA from 1 species
GUUUUGUAAAUUGAUACUUAAAGGGACCUAAGGGGAUUUUUUGUUUAAAAGGAAUAAUACGGUGAAUUCUUUUUGUAAUGUGAAUUAUGACCCCCUAAUUGUUAUUAUUAUUAUUAUUGAAAAUCUGUGUAUUGAAAAUCCGGUUUCGAUCCAUUGGAUUUUCUUAAAUAGCGCAUCCUUUUAAUCUGAUUUCUUUCUAUUAGAGAGUAAUAUAUGCAUAUACAUAACUGAUAUUUCUGAAAAAGCAAUAGAUGUUACUAGUACUUCUUGAUUCUAGCAAGGUUUAAAUUUUAAUCCCUACAAUAUAUUCGUUAAACUAAAAACUAUGGUCUAAACCAGUAGCUCCCAAACCUCACUGCACACAGAAUUAAACUGGGAGUUUUAGAGAACACAGAUUUCAGGCCCCGCCUCUUGAGCUUCCGAUUCAAUGGAAAACACAGGAAGGCACCAGGCACUCCCCAAUGGGAGUUUAUGGCUUAGAAUCCUUUGUGCAGCCACAGAGAUUGAGGGCAGAUUAACCCAUAGCUGAUUUUAUUGCUACUGUCCCAGGCUCUCCCUCCCCCAGUGCCAAUGAGAAAGAGAUUUCCAGCUUACAUUAAACAUAGUGAUCCCACGAUGUGGGGCUACUGGUCUAAUGAGAUGGUCUCCAGAGCCAAGGAGUGGGCAACUGCUCUGCAGCCGGAUGUGCGGGCAGACCCUGGUCACAGCAGGUCCUUUGGCUCCCAGUGUAGACCUGUAGGUACAAGGCAGAGUGUGUCACUGUGCCCAAGGGGCUGUGAAUUUUACCUGUAAUUUUAGCAGGGGAGUUUGUAUCCGCUCAUUUCAUACCUAAAAAUGAUUAGAAGAAAACGGAACACGCUCCUGUGGUUAGCAGAAUAACGUUCCCCCACCCCUAAUGAUGUCCGUGUCCUGUUUCCCGAAACUGUGGAUAUGUUAGGUUGUGUGGCAAAAACAAGUGGUUGCUAAUCAGCUGACUUGGAGAUGGGGAGAUUAUCUGGAUUAUCUGGGUGGGUCCACUGUAAUCACAAGGGCCCUUAAAAAUAGAAAAGGGAGGGAGGAGAGAGAGCCUAAGAGAUAACAGCUUGAGAAGGACUCCACAUUGCUGAGAAAUGAAGCCACAAGCCAAUGAAUGUGAGUGUCCUCUAGAAGCUGGAAAAAACAAGAAACUGAGAUAGAAAGAGCACAGCUCUGCUGACACCUUGAUUUUAGCUCAGUGAGACCCGAGUCAGACCUCUAACCUCUAGAACUGGACAAUAAUAAAUGUGUGUUGUUUUAAGCCACUAAAUUUGUGGUAAUUUUUUUACAGCAGGAAUAGGAAACUAAUAUAACACCCAUGACCAAGUUCUCAAAAUUUUUUUUCCUUUAAAAUGCAAGAAAAAAAAACUAGAACUUAAAAUCUGACAGCCUGUCACUUCUCCUUUUUAUUAUUGCAAGGCCCUGCAAGCCAUCUCUAAUAUUUUACUGUUUUUCUCUUGGAAGAUUCUGUAUCUAAGAUAACCAGGCUUAUUUAUUGGGCCAAGUUUUGAACAUAGUAUGAUGAGAUUGUUGUAAGAUCCAGGAUCCAUAUUUUUAAAACCUCCCUUGGUGUCUCCAGGUUUGCAAAUCACUGGUCUAAAAUUUAAAUUCUAGACCACAUAAUUAUGAGUGGCUGCAUGCCUGGAGAAUGAGCACAGUGGAUUAUUAUUAACCUAGGAGGACAUAACAAAUGUGGGGUCCACAGAGACUGGGCCUGGUGAUGUAACAUUUCAUCAGCGACCUGAAUAAUGGAAUGGUGAGCAUGCUCAUUAGCUACGAAUGUGGUACCAAAAUGGAAAACAGGCGGAGGAGGGCAUUUUAAUUAACUAAUGAGGGUUGUUAGGGUGGGGAGAAUAUUGAUUCAAAGGACAGGUGACAGCAGGGUGAGGAAGUGCCGGAGGAGUUGCUGGGAACUGAAUGAAGUUCAGUGGCAGUGAGGGCAAACGCAGAAUAACGCAUGUUCUGUAGAAGGGAAGGAAACAGCACAAUAACAGGCGGGGCGGGGGAAGACUGCAAAAUCAGAGAAAGAUCCUGAGGUAAGUCUGAUCACGGAGUUGGGCGGGCGCUGGGGGGUGGUGCAGGAAGGCCACUUGGCCUGGGCCUCACAUUCACAUGGGCCCUGAAAUUUAGAAUUCUGGCAUCAUUUUGGCAUCUGAUAAAGGUGUUCAUUUGCUCGUGUAAACCUGUAAAGCUCACCACGGUUUUGUAAUCCCAUUUUUGCAACUUUUCCUUUUUUAAUGCACUGGGAGCCUCAAAAACGGAACGUGGCCUGGAUGUCUCAGUUCGAGAGUCCUGACUGGAGAUCACGGUGGAACACAAGAUUUAAUGGGUACUGCAGUUGGUGAAGCAAGCAUCACUGUGCAGCCACAGGGUAUUUGUGGGAGGAUUCACAACGAGCAGCGAGGGCCUCUAGCAAGCAAGGCUGGGAGAAUUCGAAUCCAGGGAGGAAAGGAGAUUUACUUUGUUCCUGAAGAAACUAUUAAUAGGACAACAAGAAUGAAAGCUCCAAUAGAGCAGUGGACAGUGGUGGGACAGCUGAUCCGCGUGCACAGAGCAGCAACCGAGCAAGGCUUUCAGGACAAGGGUUAAUAUUUGACAGAAUGAAACUUCCCGAUAAUUUGACAAGGGAUGCCUAACCAGGAAGCUGAAGAGACAGCUGCACCCUUCUCUGCAAAGAGGAUCUUCUGAGCAAGCCCAGAAGCAAAGUUCGGCCAGAGGCAGCCUGGGGUGCCCAGGUUGUCCGAGAAGAGCCAUUUGAGGGAAAUUGCAUUUCUGGAAUUGAAACCAAGGGAGGUGGAACUGCAGUCGACACAAGGCAAGGACUGAGAAGGAGGCCGGGAUGACAAUCCAGAACAAACCAGCCACAGCACUCCCACUUGGAGAAUAAUCAGUUUCCCCAGUGGUGUUAUAAAACCGGUUGCAAAAAACCAGUUCCUCUUGCUUUAGGUGGCAAGGAUCUUCCGAGUGCUGGUUACCCUCUCACAGCUUUUCAACCUGCUGCCAAAGAAAUUUCCAUCUGUAGUUAUUAAUCCACUGGUAUUGAGGAAAGUUCCUGAACUUUGAAAGCUUGUUUGGGCUGGUAUGAAAGAAAAUAAGCACUUUCCACCACAGCAGAGCCAAACUGUGCUUUCUAGAGGCUGUGGAAAAUUGUUUUCAUUAAACGCAAAUCAUUGCCCCCCAAACCAAUGUUCUUGGGGAUGAAAUUGUCUUUGGCUCCAUUAACUCUGAGAGGCUACAUUAGCCAGUUCUCUAACGGCACUCUGCUAUGGAAGGUUCUAGAAAAUGAAUAGAAAGUGAAUCACUUUCCACUCGCACCCCCAGUACCAACCCCUCACCCCAGCAGCAGCUUACCCCUUAUCAGUUGGAAAGGGGGUGGGGUGGGGGAUGUAGCAUGACUGUGCUUAUACUAUGAAGAUGCUGGGGUGGGGUUGGGGGGACAGCAAUUAAAUGCUGCAACUGGGGUGUUAGUCACAGUGGGUGGGACUCUCCCUGUCAUCCUGCAGAAGCAGAGCCAGAGAAGCUGAUGAUAGCUGAAGAGAGGGAGGGCCCCCCGCGCAACCUCUCUCUUUUCCCAGCAACAGCUGCUUCAUAAGCAGCACUUAGCAUAUGUACAAGGUCGUAAAAGAGGUGAGAAACAGG